rnacentral:rRNA from 1 species
UGGGGAAUCUUGGACAAUGGGGGCAACCCUGAUCCAGCGACGCCGCGUGGGUGGUAAGGCCUUUGGGUUGUAAACCGCUUUUCUCAGGGAAGAAGCUCUGACGGUACCUGAGGAAUCAGCCUCGCCUAACUCCGUGCCAGCAGCCGCGGUAAUACGGAGGAGGCAAGCGUUAUCCGGAAUCAUUGGGCGUAAAGCGUUCGCAGGCGGCGAUUCAAGUCUGCUGUCAAAGCCCGCAGCUCAACUGCGGACAGGCAGUGGAAACUGAAUGGCUAGAGUGCGGCAGGGGUAGAGGGAAUUCCCGGUGUAGCGGUGAAAUGCGUAGAUAUCGGGAAGAACACCAGUGGCGAAAGCGCUCUACUGGGCCGCAACUGACGCUCAGGGACGAAAGCUAGGGGAGCGAAAGGGAUUAGAUACCCGUGUAGUCC